UGCGGAUUUCACUAAUCGCGGGUGGUUUUUGGAACCAAUUAUCUGCGAUAAACAAGGGAUUACUGUACUGUCAUUCUUUAGGUCUUCGCACAGUGAAGCAAAUUAAAUCCACAUUCAUGAACAAAUUAAAUGUCUCUUAGUGAUUAGAAUAUUUUGUUCCCAAAGCUGCUCUCUGCAUCCGUCUAGUUCACAAAUGACGGUCAUGUGCUUCCUCCUUCUCCACAUAGGUUUUGUGGUGUGACCUGCACAGCAAAGCAAUGCGCUGUUUGAUCAUCAGCUUGUCCUGCAUCCAGCACUGAGAAAAUCAACUUUAUGUGUUAAUCCUCUCCGAUCCUGUUAUGCAAUCUUUUCCUUUUUUCAGAACAUAUACACACACACACACACACACACACACACUAGAGGGCAGAGUGUCACAACUGAAGACUUCUAUGGUAAGUCCUUGAAAAUGCAUUGUGACUGUAACUCUAGUGGUCAACAACAAUGUAAACUUCCGAUUUGACUAUUCCCAAAUAAGUCAUAUUUGCAUGUUCCAUUUGCUUAGACACACACCUGUUUGCUAGAUGCAUUGUAAAGCGGCAUUAUUCAUGGGAGUGCAGAGAGCAUCUUGAGGCAGACAAUUGAUUGUAUUAUUUUUGCUUUAUUUUUGGGGCUAUUUAUUAAUAAAGGCCUACCCAAUGACAGAGGAGAAAAAUGGUCUUCCCACCAAUCAUGGCAGUCCUCCAUACACAGAGGAACAUUCAAGAUUCUCUCCUUGCGCCACUCCUGAUCCACCUGCACAAAUCUCUCAAUGUGGAUUACACUGACACAAGAAGAGCAGCACCCACCGGUUGUAUCCAGGGCCCCAAGUGUG